rnacentral:rRNA from 1 species
UACGUAGGGGGCAAGCGUUGUCCGGAAUCAUUGGGCGUAAAGAGCGCGUAGGCGGCCCAGUAAGUCCGCUCUGAAAGUCAGGGGCUCAACCCCUGAAUGCGGGUGGAUACUGCUGGGCUAGAGUCCGGAAGAGGCGAGUGGAAUUCCUGGUGUAGCGGUGAAAUGCGCAGAUAUCAGGAGGAACACCGGUGGCGAAGGCGGUUCUCUGGGCCUUACCUGACGCUGAGGAGCGAAAGUGUGGGGAGCGAACAGG